UAUUUUUUAAUAUUGUAUAUUAUCACUUUCAAAGAAAGUUGCAGGGACAUUCUGGGUAAAGUGUUUAAUGUUCGUGAAUAUUCCGGCCGCGUGAGGGGGAAAAGAGUUGGCGUAACUCCUAAAAGCUAUUUUUCACAAGAGAAGCGCCAAAAUCCAUCCAAUGAGGAAGUAUUAGAGAAGCUCAAACUCCUAUCAGAGUAAGCGGCACUCUUGGUGAAGACGAAUAAAGACAAGCAACUCUUGGAUCAGCUCCAAAUGGAGAGUGAAAACGUGAGUUGCAAUAUUGGUCUCAAAACUCUUCCCGAGGGUGUCACUUCAUGCGUUCUAUACUUAUCCUCCCCUACUCAUCGGAAGGUCGGAAAGGGAACAUUGUGUAAUACUUCGGGAGAAGGAUUGCACAACACAGCGAUACCUGCGGGCCAUGUCAAAGUAUCACCUGUCAUUGCUUUGGAACCAAAUGCACCGUUGCCUAUACCGGACACCGAUGCAGAUAUGAGGCUUUUGGGCGAAGCAGUUGGUAGUUACGUGGCAUGGCCCAUACAUCUUGUUGCCCUUGAUAAGAUAUGUUUAAUUAAUUGAAAUAUUCUGAAAAAACAUAAAGGGAAUGAUAAAAAGAUUCCUAGAAAUGAGUCAAUUACAUCGCCCGAAAAGAUUCAAUAAACUAACAUUUAAGCAUAAGGAGAUGAGUGUUACUGUCAUCAGCUUGUACAUAAGGUUUUUGUAUGAGAAGUUGGUGUGCUUGCGCAGAUUGUCAAAU